rnacentral:lncRNA from 1 species
AUUUCUUGGGCCGCUCCUGUGGCAUAUGGAGGUUCCCAGGCUAGGGGUUAAAUCGGAACUGUAGCUGCCAGCCUACGCCAGAGCCACAGCAACGUAGGAUCCAAGCUGUGUCUGCGACCUACACCGCAGCUCACACCAAUGCCAGAUCCUUAGCCCACUGAGCAAGGCCAGGGAUCGAACCCGCAACCUCAUGGUUCCUAGUCGGAUUCGUUAACCACUGCGCCACGAUGGGAACUCCUGAUUCUUUUAAUAUAUUAUUAGAGUCAGUUUGCUAGUAUUUUGUUGAGGAUUUUUAAAACCAUAUUCAUCAAUGAUAUUAGCCAUAUAAUUUUCUAUUUUUUGUGAUUACCUUUGUCUGGUUUCAGUAUCAGCGUGAUACUGGCCUCAUAGAAUAUUUUUGGAAGUGAUCCUUCCUCUGAAAUUUUUUGUAAUAAUUUCAAAAGUAUAGGUGUUAACUCUUCUCUAAGUGUUUGGUAGAAUUCACUUGUAAAGCCAUUUGGUCCUGGACUUUUAUUUUUUGGGACUUUUAAAAUCACAGUUUCAAUUUUUUUUACUUGUAAUUGGUCCAUCCAUCUUUUUUCUCUUUCUUCCUGAUUCAGUCUUGGGGGGUUGUACCUCUCUUAGAAUUGGUCACUUUUUUUAGAGUGUCCAUUUUAUUGGCAUAUAGUUUCUUUUCUUUUUUCUUUUUUUGCUUUUUGAGAGCCACACCCACGGCAUAUGGAGGUUCCCAGGCUAGGGAUCAAAUAGGAGCUAUAGCUGCUGGCCUAUGCCACAGCAACAGCAAUGCCAGAUCUGAGCCACAUCUGCAACCUAUACCACGAGUCACAGUAAUGCCAGAUACUGGAACUCCUGACAUAUUGUUUCUUGUAAUAAUGAUCCUUUGUAUUUCUGUGUCGUUAGUUGUAAUUUCUCUUUUUUCAUUUCUAAUUUUAUUGAUUUGAGCCCUCUCCCUUUUCUUCUGCUGAGUCUGGCUAAAGGUUUAUUAAUUUUGUUUAUCUUUUCAAAGAACAGGCUUUUAAUUUCAUCGAUCUUUUCUUUUGUUUUCUUUAUCUCUAUUUUAUUUAUUUUUGCUCUGAUCGUUAUGAUUUCUUUUCUACUACUAACUUUGGAUUUUGUUUGUUGUUCUUCCUCUAGUUGCUUUAGGUGUAAGAUUAGGUUGUUUAUUUGAGGUUUUUAUUUCCUGAGAUAAGCUUGUAUCAUUAGAAACUUUGGUGCUAGAACUGGUUUUUCUGAGUCCCAUGGAUUUUGGAUCGUUGUGCUUUCAUUUAUAUGUCUCUAGAAAUAUAUAUAUAUAUAUUUUUAAUGGCGACACCUGUGUCACAUAGAAGUUCCUGGGCUAGGGGUUAAAUUAGAGCUGCAGCUGAGGCCUGCAUCACAGCCACAGCAACACUGGAUCUGAGCCACAACUGCAACCUACAAUGCAGCUCACAACAAUGCCAGAUCCCUAACCCACUCUGCAAGGCCAGGGAUCCAACCUGCAUCUUCUUAGUGAUGAUGCUGGGUUCUUAACCCACUGAGUCACAAUAGGAACACCUUUCUCUAGGCGUUUUUGAUUUCCUCUCUGAUUACUUCAGUGAACUGUUGGUUGUUUAGCAGCAUAUUGUUUAGCCAUGUGUUUGUGUUUGUAUGUAUAGAAGUGGCUGUGGGUUCAAGACAAAUUCAGGCAGGCUUUCUGCUGAUGGGUGGGGCUGUGUUCUUGCCCUUUUGGUUAUUUGGCCUGAGGCAUCCUAGCACUGGUUGUUGGGGAGGACCAGGUCUUGGUUUCAGAAUGGCAGUCUUCAGGAAAGUUCACCCCAAUGAAUAUUCCCUGAUACCUCCACCACCAGUGUCUUUGUCCUCUCAGUGAGGUACAGCCACCCCCCCACCUCCCCAGAAGACCCUCUAAGACCAGCAGGUAGGUCUGGCCCAGAAGCCUAUGAAGUCACUGCUUUUUCCAUGAGUCUCAGUGCUAUGAGCCCUCAUGCUUAUCCUCCCAAGAGUGGAGUCUCUGUUUCUCCCAGUCCAAUUGUGCUCCUGCACUCAAGCCCUGCUGGCCUUCAAAGCUAAAUGCUCUGGAGGCUCCUCCUCCUCCUGCAAGCUGGGGAGCCGGACAUGAGGCUCAGAACUCUCACUCCUAUAGGACAACUUCUACGAUGUGAUUGUUUUCCAGUUUGUGGGCCAUGAACCCAGAGGGUAUGAGAUUUGACUAUAGCAUAAGUGCACCCUCCCUACUGUUUUGUUGUGUUUCUUCUUUAUGUCUUUGGAUGAAGACUAUCUUGUUUGGUAGAUUUAAGUCUUUUUUUUUUUUUUUUUUUUCUUUUUGCUAUUUUUUGGGCCGCUCCCACGGCAUAUGGAGAUUCCCAGGCUAGGGGUCAGAUCGGAGCUGUAGCCUCCGGCCUACACCAGAGCUACAGUAACGUGAGAUCCAAGCCGUGUCUGCAACCUACACCACAGCUCACGGCAACGCCGGAUCGUUAACCCACUGAGCAAGGGCAGGGAUCGAACCUGCAACCUCAUGGUUCCUAGUCGGAUUCGUUAACCACUGCGCCACGACGGGAACUCCAGAUUUAAGUCUUUUUUAUUGAUGGUUAUUCAAUAGUAAGUUGUGAUUUUGGGGGUGCUCAUGAAUGGAGGUGAGCUCAAGGUCCUUCUAUUCUGCCAUCUUCAUUACCAGCCAAGCCCUUUCUAGAAUUAUCUCAUUCUAGAUUUAUAAAACUUCUUAAUAGUUGUAUUUUUAUUUUUAAAUAUUUCUAAAUAUUUCUUUUUUAUACGUACCUGUUCUUUUACAUGUUUAGGAAUGUGUUCAUAUUAGGUUUAUUAAAUGUUUUUCUGAGCAUUAGAUAUCAUUUUUUUUUUUUUUUAGUUUUGUUUCCUUUUUGUGUUUUGGCCUUCAAUGGCUCCUAUAAUCUGCAGUCCUGGACAGAAUUCAUAGUAUUUUUCUUCAGCCUGCUCUCAUGAUUUGGAGAUGUUUUAUUAAACUCUCUCUUAGGCAGUGGGUCUUACUCUGAUUCCCUGCCUUUCCUAGUGGUUCAUUUUUAUUGCCCAUUACUUCACAGGAACUUAACUCCUAAUUGCUCCUGUUUGCUUCUUAAUCCAGACCCUAGCUCCCAUUUUGUAUUUUGUUCCCAUAUCUGGCCCAUGAAGAUAUUUAUGUCUUAUUUUUGAACAAUUUUUACUUGUUUUGUUGUUUAUUUUCUUUUCAUUUUUUUUCCUAUCAUUACUGUUUAGUUGAAGCAUAAGGAGUGUCUUAAAGUGUGAAUUUACUGCUCUAUCUUCCCUGAGCUCUUGUUUUCUAUCAUUUUGUUGAAGGUUUAAUGAAAAAUUUGCUGUCUGAAUCCUGCUAAUUACUCCACUUGGAUUUUUGUAGAUGGAGUCUCACAUGGAGUCAAGGAGUACAACAUGUUCUAAAGCAGAGGACUGCAGAGUAACAGUGACUGGAGAAUUUUAUGGGGCCUCUUCUUCUUCCAUUCCUAGCCCUUGGGAUAAGAUAACUCUGACUUCCUACUGCCCAUUCCCAGUCUAUACAACUUACAGGUCCUGAGGCUUAAACAGCAGUCACUUUUCUCUGCGGUGCUGCUGUUGGUGUGUGGUCCCUCCCCCUGUGAUCUUACUUUCAAGAGAUAAGUGAAUUAAGAUGUCAAGGCAUGGGAUGUGCUUCAGAGAAACUAUACCUGUGCUAGAGGGUAUCAACUCUCCACAAUUCUUGAACUGUAUAAGUCACUCUACCUUCCUAUGGGGAGAUCAUGGUCAGGGUCUACACUGGGCCUGGAGAGAUGUGCCCCCAGCCUGCCUAUGCCCUAUAAAGACAAGAGAAGCUGAGACUACGGUAUUUCCUUAAUGCUUUGAUUUAACAGUUCAAGUUCUGAAAAUCAAUCCUAAGAAAAUAACCAGGGAUGUGAUCAAGAUUUAAGCAUAAAUGUAUUUGCCUUAAUUUUACCUGUAAUAGUGAAAAAUUGAGAGGAUAAACCCUAUUUCCCACCCUAUCCCCCCAAAAAAAAA